rnacentral:lncRNA from 1 species
UGCACGGACCACACAGCUGUCAUCUUGAGUGAGGGGUUUUGCACCAGCUACCGAUAUGGAUUUAGGAACAGCCAGGGGUGUCCCCCUCACCCACCCCAGCGGCUCCAGACAGAAGCACCAGCACGGCCCUGGCGAGGGAGAGCGCGAGACUGUGGAUGAAAGGAGAGGUCCCCGCAGCCUCUGUGCAUCACACGGCAGCUCCAAGCCAAAAGGAGGGCAGUGAACUCAGUGCAGCUGCAAACCCGGAGAGCUGGAGAGGUCACCCCACAUGAAAAGGAAACCGAGACCAACCUUUGUACGGGAGCUCGCCUGGAAACACGGAGAACACACACACCGCCAGGGAAGAAAGGCAGCCGCCAGUCCGACAGCACAGGACUCCACUCAGAACUCGGUCUCAAAGAGCAGACAUUCGGAGAGAGCUGUACAGUGAGACCUCUUAGAACUGGCCCUUCUUUUCCUGCAGCUGAACAAAAGAAAGGGGGUCAAGGUUACACACUCAGGUGCCUUUGAAGUCCAGCUGUCUCCCAGGCCUCCCGCCUCUCCACAAACUCACAGCUGAAGGUACAAGCAAAGCACUCUCUGCACCUUCUCCCGUGGUCUCCCCCAGACUCAGCUGGUACCCACGGCAUUCCCGCCAGGACUUGCCCUAACCCUGCAACCGGCUCAGCCCCAAUAACAUCAGAGUCCUCCAGCAAGUCACUGAAUGCCUCUGGCCCUCUCCUUCCUCCCCUCUAUGAGAGUUCAGUCAGUUCAGUCGCUCAGUCGUGUCUGACUCUUUGCAACCCCAU